rnacentral:rRNA from 1 species
UCCGGUUGAUCCUGCCGGAGGCUACUGCUAUCGGGGUCCGACUAAGCCAUGCGAGUUGAGAGGGGUAAGCCCUCGGCAUAUUGCUCAGUAACACGCGGAUAACCUGCCCUUGGGUUCGGGAUAACCCCGGGAAACUGGGACUAAUACCGGAUAGAUCAAAGAAACUGGAAUGUUCUCUGGUCUAAAACUCUGGUGCCCAAGGAUGGGUCUGCGGCCUAUCAGGUAGUAGUGGGUGUAACGUACCUACUAGCCUACGACGGGUAAGGGUUGUGAGAGCAAGAGCCCUGAGAUGGAUUCUGAGACAUGAAUCCAGGCCCUACGGGGUGCAGCAGGCGCGAAAACUUUACACUGCGGGAAACCGCGAUAAGGGGACCCCGAGUGCCAGCACCUAGUGCUGGCUGUCCAGCUGUUCAAAUAACAGUUGUUAGCAAGGGCCGGGCAAGACCGGUGCCAGCCGCCGCGGUAACACCGGCGGCCCGAGUGGUAGCCGUUAUUAUUGGGUUUAAAGGGUCCGUAGCCGGCCUAUUAAGUCUCUUGGGAAAUCUGGCGACUCAAUCGUCAGGCGUCCAAGAGAUACUGGUAGGCUUGGGACCGGGAGAGGUGGGAGGUACUCCAGGGGUAGGGGUGAAAUCUCGUAAUCCUUGGGGGACCACCGAUGGCGAAGGCAUCCCACCAGAACGGGUCCGACGGUGAGGGACGAAAGCUGGGGGCACGAACCGGAUUAGAUACCCGGGUAGUCCCAGCCGUAAACGAUGCUCGCUAGGUGUCAGGUGCGGUGCGACCGCAUCUGGUGCCGCAGUGAAAACUUGAAGCGAGUCACCUGGGAAGUACGGUCGCAAGG